GUGGGAGCAGGAUCGGGCCCAAAGCCCCUUUGCUACGGGGCAAAUGACACCAACGGAAAACAAUCCCAACAAUCCUCAACUCCCAUCACCACUCCCGUCAUAAAUUAUGAUAAUUACUGAGGUCCUGUAGGCCUCUUAUCUUCUGGCACUUGAAUAAUGAGAAGAAAAAAAAGCUUUACAGAAUGCAGAACAGAAAAUAUUAUCAGGGAACAGAAAUAUCAUCUUGGCUCAGACCCCAAGAUUGGAGAUCCUUCUGAUUGUGUUUCUUUCCGAGACUCCUCAGCUACUGGUGGUAAAAGGACGUUGGUUUGAAACAAAAAUGCGUUCAUACCGAACAGCAAAUAUGGCGAAGCCCUGAUUUUUUUCUCUCCAGCCUGCUGUGCCACUACAGCCACACACUUCAUGGCACUCAAGCAUGAACUCCUAUUUACAGCAGGGAAAAAAAUGCCCUCAGCAAAUCUCGUACAUCUAUAAGCAGUGCCAGGGGGAGCGGAAGGAGGAAACAGCCAUUCUUUAUUAGAUCUCUUUAACUACAAAAUAUAGAUCUGGUGCCUGUGGUCUGCUUUGUAUAUGUGAUCGGAGACAUUUGGAAAUGUAUUUCUCUUCCAUCAUUUCAAAGAUUUUAAUCACUGUUCUAGCUCCCCCCGCCCCCGCCUUUUUAACUUCCCAUUAUUCGAGUUCUGCAUUGAUUAACAAGCGACUGAAAAUCAGUGGCAUGGGAAGAGGCAAGGGUUUACAUAGUAGCAUAUAUUUUAAUUUAGGAAAGCUAUACAGUGGGCCAAUUCCCGCGAGUCUACUCAAGGGAUAUUUUAGAUUAAAAUGUUUUAAAAGUCAUUGGAAUAUCUUGAUCGUAAUGGCAGACGUAACUGGCUGUACAAAGAAGUCUAUGAUAAAAGGCUAAUA